rnacentral:lncRNA from 10 species
AGGUGUGCUAGGGAAUAAAUGAAAUGCCUGGGACAUCAUCGUUAAGUGGCAUCUGAUGCAUAAGCAGUGCCCUAGGAAUGGGGUUGCCUGCCUUGGUCUCUAAAGGAUGGGUUCAAAAGGCAAGAGCAGCACACAAGAAGAUAGCUUCAAGCAGGAGAUAAAGCUUGGCCCAGGGCCCAAAGGGGAUACGACCCUUCAGCAAACUGACAUGCUGAAAGCUGCCCUAUGGAGAGGCUCAUGUGGCAAGGAACAGAGGGUGGCUUCUGGCCAACACCCAGUGAGGAACUCAGGCCCUCAGUCAAACAGCCUGCAAGGAACUGAACCCUGCCAAUAACCCAGCUGGGUUGAAAGCUUCCCUUUGGAGAAGAACUGAGGGCUGUCUCUGGUCAAUAGCACUGAGGAACUGAAUCCAGCAAACAAUUAUGUGAAGAAACUUGGAAGCUUGUCCUCCCCUCUAGUUGAGCUUUGAGAUGACUGCCGCCCUAGUGGACACCUUGAUU